CUUUUGAGAUUCCUAACUGAGGCAAGUAGAAGGCUCAGUACUAUGGAGAGAAUAUCCCAGAAGACUGUUUUUGCUUUCUAUGGCAGAAGCUCCUAGUUGUGACUAAAUAUGUAGGUUCUCUUUCUUCAUGUUUAUCCGAACUUCUCAUUUGCCACUGCAAUCCUGGCCACCUGGAUUACAUUUUUAUUUUCUGGUCUUUUGCAUCUAUUUUAGAUGUUCUUGCUUUAGAACAGAAUUCUAACAGAAACAUCCACUUUCCCUCAAAAAAAAAAAGUC
rnacentral:lncRNA from 1 species